AACGAACGCUGGCGGCAUGCUUAACACAUACAAGUCGAGCGCCCCGCAAGGGGAGCGGCAGACGGGUGAGUAACGCGUGGGAAUCUACCCAUCUCUACGGAAUAACGCAUGGAAACGUGUGCUAAUACCGUAUACGUCCUUCGGGAGAAAGAUUUAUCGGAGAUGGAUGAGCCCGCGUUGGAUUAGCUAGUUGGUGGGGUAAAGGCCUACCAAGGCGACGAUCCAUAGCUGGUCUGAGAGGAUGAUCAGCCACACUGGGACUGAGACACGGCCCAGACUCCUACGGGAGGCAGCAGUGGGGAAUAUUGGACAAUGGGCGCAAGCCUGAUCCAGCCAUGCCGCGUGAGUGAUGAAGGCCCUAGGGUUGUAAAGCUCUUUCACCGGUGAAGAUAAUGACGGUAACCGGAGAAGAAGCCCCGGCUAACUUCGUGCCAGCCGCCGCAGUAAAAC
rnacentral:rRNA from 1 species